AAACCACAGGGGGUUAAGUGAAAGCACGAUCAAUUUCAAAAGGUGCCCAUAUAAUUAAUUCUAAGGAUAAAUUUGUCAUUUGAAGAUUUUUUUUUUAAACGAUGUGAGAAUUUUUUAACUAGACGAGUUUUAUGAAAACAACUUGAAAUCUUAGAGGAUGUUAAUGUAAUUUCUGAAAUUUAAGGAGAUAUUGUGAAAACAUGAAAAAUAUUAGAGGGUGUCAAUUCAAAUUUUAUGAGUACAUAAUUUUUCUUUUUAAUAGCUCAUAUUAACAUUUGGUUUAUAACGCAAAAGGUUUUCAUGCUUAAAUGACUUGAACGUCAGGUUUAUGAUUCCCU
rnacentral:lncRNA from 1 species